AUCUCAGCCGCCGCCGUCAUACGGAGGGUGCGAGCGUUAAUCGGAAUUACUGGGCGUAAAGCGCAUGCAGGCGGCCUGUUAAGUCAGAUGUGAAAGCCCGGGGCUUAACCUCGGAAUUGCAGUUGAAACUGGCAGGCUAGAGUCUUGUAGAGGGGGGUAGAAUUUCAGGUGUAGCGGUGAAAUGCGUAGAGAUCUGAAGGAAUACCAGUGGCGAAGGCGGCCCCCUGGACAAAGACUGGCGCUCAGAUGCGAAAGCGUGGGGAGCAAACAGGAUUAGAUACCCGCGUAGUCC
rnacentral:rRNA from 1 species